rnacentral:rRNA from 1 species
UAUGAACGCUGGCGGCGUGCUUAACACAUGCAAGUCGAACGGGAAUUAUUUUAUUGACACUUCGGUCGAUUUAAUUUAAUUCUAGUGGCGGACGGGUGAGUAACGCGUGGGUAACCUGCCUUAUACAGGGGGAUAACAGUCAGAAAUGGCUGCUAAUACCGCAUAAGCGCACAGAGCUGCAUGGCUCAGUGUGAAAAACUCCGGUGGUAUAAGAUGGACCCGCGUUGGAUUAGCUGGUUGGUGGGGUAACGGCCCACCAAGGCGACGAUCCAUAGCCGGCCUGAGAGGGUGAACGGCCACAGUGGGACUGAGACACGGCCCAGACUCCUACGGGAGGCAGCAGUGGGGAAUAUUGCACAAUGGGGGAAACCCUGAUGCAGCGACGCCGCGUGAAGGAAGAAGUAUCUCGGUAUGUAAACUUCUAUCAGCAGGGAAGAUAGUGACGGUACCUGACUAAGAAGCCCCGGCUAACUACGUG